rnacentral:rRNA from 1 species
AAAGCACCCCGGAAGGGGAGUGAAAUAGAACCUGAAACCGUGUGCCUACAACAAGUCAAAGCCCGUUAAUGGGUGAUGGCGUGCCUUUUGUAGAAUGAACCGGCGAGUUACGAUUGCAUGCGAGGUUAAGUUGAAGAGACGGAGCCGCAGCGAAAGCGAGUCUGAAUAGGGCGUUUGAGUAUGUAGUCGUAGACCCGAAACCAUGUGAUCUACCCAUGUCCAGGUUGAAGGUGCGGUAAAACGCACUGGAGGACCGAACCCACGUACGUUGAAAAGUGCGGGGAUGAGGUGUGGGUAGCGGAGAAAUUCCAAACGAACUUGGAGAUAGCUGGUUCUCUCCGAAAUAGCUUUAGGGCUAGCCUCGGAAUUGAGAAUGAUGGAGGUAGAGCACUGUUUGGACUAGGGGCCCAUCUCGGGUUACCGAAUUCAGAUAAACUCCGAAUGCCAUUCAUUCAUAUCCGGGAGUCAGACUGUGAGUGAUAAGAUCCAUAGUCGAAAGGGAAACAGCCCAGACCACCAGCUAAGGUCCCAAAAUAUAUGUUAAGUGGAAAAGGAUGUGGGGUUGCACAGACAACUAGGAUGUUGGCUUAGAAGCAGCCACCAUUUAAAGAGU